GCGGCGGAUGGGUGAGUAACACGUGGGGAACCUGCCCCAUAGUCUGGGAUACCACUUGGAAACAGGUGCUAAUACCGGAUAAGAAAGCAGAUCGCAUGAUCAGCUUUUAAAAGGCGGCGUAAGCUGUCGCUAUGGGAUGGCCCCGCGGUGCAUUAGCUAGUUGGUAAGGUAAAGGCUUACCAAGGCGAUGAUGCAUAGCCGAGUUGAGAGACUGAUCGGCCACAUUGGGACUGAGACACGGCCCAAACUCC
rnacentral:rRNA from 1 species